UCUUCAUUCCGCGUACUCUCUCAACGGCCAGGGAGGCGAGAAAAUGUGCGAAAUGAAGAGA
rnacentral:pre_miRNA from 1 species